rnacentral:rRNA from 1 species
UUUCAACAACGGAUCUCUUGGCUCUCGCAUCGAUGAAGAACGCAGCGAAAUGCGAUAAGUAAUGUGAAUUGCAGAUUCAGUGAAUCAUCGAAUCUUUGAACGCACAUUGCGCCCCUCGGUAUUCCGGGGGGCAUGCCUGUUCGAGCGUCAUUA